rnacentral:tRNA from 1 species
UCCCGAGUAGCUCAGUUGGUUAGAGCGGCGGACUGUUACUCCGUAGGUCACUGGUUCGAGUCCAGUCUGGGGAGCCA